AAUUCUUUCCUUUCACCUGUAGAUCGUCUCUUCUCACAUUUUUCUUUCUGAUUCUCCUGUUUUCCUUAUUGGUUUGUGAAGGUUGUGAUGAUUCUGAUGCAUGGUUGAGCUAAAUUGAGUGUUUUCUUUUCUGCAAUCUUAUUUCUUAUUUUGGGUGCAUAUUAUGAAAGUAUCAUGAAUUUGGGGUUAAGUUGAUUUGGUUUGGUCAUUUCGGAGUUGCACGUUAU
rnacentral:misc_RNA from 1 species